rnacentral:rRNA from 1 species
UACGAAGGGGGCUAGCGUUGUUCGGAAUUACUGGGCGUAAAGGGCGCGUAGGCGGCUUGGUCAGUCCCGUGUGAAAUCCCUCGGCUCAACUGAGGAACUGCACGGGAAACUGCCUGGCUUGAGUUCGGGAGAGGGAAGCGGAAUUCCGGGUGUAGCGGUGAAAUGCGUAGAUAUCCGGAGGAACACCGGUGGCGAAGGCGGCUUCCUGGACCGACACUGACGCUGAGGCGCGAAAGCUAGGGGAGCAAACGGG